rnacentral:rRNA from 1 species
UGGGGAAUCUUGGACAAUGGGCGCAAGCCUGAUCCAGCCAUGCCGCGUGAGUGAAGAAGGCCUUAGGGUCGUAAAGCUCUUUCGCCUGUGAUGAUAAUGACAGUAGCAGGUAAAGAAACCCCGGCUAACUCCGUGCCAGCAGCCGCGGUAAUACGGAGGGGGUUAGCGUUGUUCGGAAUUACUGGGCGUAAAGCGCGCGUAGGCGGAUUGGAAAGUUGGGGGUGAAAUCCCGAGGCUCAACCUCGGAACUGCCUUCAAAACUCCCAGUCUAGAGUUCGAGAGAGGUGAGUGGAAUUCCAAGUGUAGAGGUGAAAUUCGUAGAUAUUUGGAGGAACACCAGUGGCGAAGGCGGCUCACUGGCUCGAUACUGACGCUGAGGUGCGAAAGUGUGGGGAGCAAACAGGAUUAGAUACCCUGGUAGUCCACACCGUAAACGAUGAAUGCCAGUCGUCGGGCAGUAUACUGUCCGGUGACACACCUAACGGAUUAAGCAUUCCGCCUGGGGAGUACGGUCGCAAGAUUA